rnacentral:tRNA from 1 species
GGGGCCGUGGUCUAGCCUGGUAAGGUUGAAGCCCCAGCGUGACGGCACCCUCACGCGGUGCAAGUCCCCGGUUCGAAUCCGGGCGGCCCCA